rnacentral:lncRNA from 10 species
UCUUUUUAAUAUUUAUGUGUUUAUUUGCUCAGAAAGUAUUUAAGUCCAUAUUUUUUUGUCGAAACUGGAAAUUGUGCUUUGUUAAGUGUAAACAACAUAAAAAACCAAAAGUAUUUCCUAAGUUUGGAAUUAAUCUCCCAAUCCAUGAAAAUGGAGAAACUUCUCACAUUGGCAAAAUGUGUUCCUACCCUGGCUACCAAAGAAGAAGAAUGGGCCAACAAGUAGCUUUAGAAUUUUUGCCAGCAAUUUACAUAUGAAUCAAAUGUGAUCUUUCUUUAAAUUGCACUUAAUAUAGGAAGUACAGCCAUGUUUGAUUUCAAGCUGAAUUGAUAUGUGAGCAGUCAUUGGCUGUCCAUAAUUAAAAUCUUACAGAAAGCCCACCUAUGAUGAGCAAUUUAAUAUUUGUGGUCUUAGUUGGUAAACUAUGCCAAUUCCAUGAAAAGCAUAUUUUCAUAGUUAGAGCCAGGCUAACCACAUAGAGCUCUUUCUUUCUCUAUCCAUAAUUAUAUAAUUAGAUUAUUUUUAUCUUAAACAUACUUUGAAAACAUUUUCUUUAUGGUACAUUAUUAAAGAAUCAUGCCUUCUAAAGGUCUCUUCCUAAGCCAAGAAAUCCACAUGUUAUGUAUUAUGCAGAAGAGAUUUUCAUGAGUAGAUUUCUGUAAAGCUUUGAACCAAGGUCCAGGAAUUAUAUUACAGUUUGCCAGUGAUAUUUAAAAAGUGAGAGUAAUAUAGUUGCAAAGCAAACUUUAGUAAGAUAAUUGAUGGGAAAUGAUAUUGAAUGUUAGAAAAAAAUGUUGUUAUUACUCUUAAUGCCAAAUCUGUGUUUCUCAUGAGUUAGACUUAAACAUUUAGGAUGAGAUAACUGUACCCUCUAUAUAAGAACUGCAUUUACUAAGGAGGGAUGAGAGGAGGAGGCAGUCGUAAUCUGUAAUAAGUCUAUUCUGUCUCUAUAUUUGGUAAUGAAUGUAUAUGUCAUCUUUCAUUUUCAGGUCUCUAUUUUUCUCAUUUUAUUUUAAAAACUAUUUAUUUAUUUAUUCAUUUUUAGACAGGAUCCCACUGUGUCACCCAGGCUGAAGUGCAGUGGCACCAUUAUAGCUCACUGCAGCCUUGAACUCUUGGGCUCAAGUGAUCCUCCUACCUCAGCCUCCCGAGUAGCUGGGACUACAGAAAUGUCAAUUGCCUACCUGAUGGCUGUGAAAAACAGAAAGAAGAAACAAAGACAUAUCUGUAUGUAAAGGUUGAGCUUGAAAAAAGAAAACUACUCUUGACGCUGAAGAACGCAAUCCAACAUGAAAGAAUGCUUAUUUCAAGUUUUACCUGAAUCUACCUAGAGCUGAAUUUCUUAUCUAUACUUUACUACAGAUAUUCUGCUUUGUGCAGAUCUACAAUGGAUCAUUAAAGUCAAAGGACAAUUACUUAUCUUUCUACUCCUCCCAGUACCCAAGACCUGAGAGUGAGAUAUUAAAUUCGUCCUUAGAUCUUUCAUGCAAUGUUACAGCUCUUUGGAACUCCUCAUGAAGCUCCUCCUCUCCAUGGUGGAAUUUUACUCUGAGGAGAGAUAGGCUAAAAUGUUUCAGUCCCCUAUAUGAUAAGUCCAAAAUCACCGUUUCACAUAUAUGCUGACCUGAUACAUUGAGUCACUGAUACGUGUCUUUCCACCUUCAGUAUAUUUUCUUUGACUAGCUUUAUUGCUUCCCUGUGAUGCUGAAUUUUGAGCAUGGAUGUGUGUGUCCAUAACAAAACCAUCCUAGGUAAACUGAAUUUGGUUAUUUGAAUUUCAUAAUUACUCUUUACUCCAAGUGUUGUGGAUUCAUGAUGCAAAUUUACCCAUUCCCAUUGCAAUAACUUAGAGCCAAAUAUCAAUUAUUUUAAAACUUGGUUCUCAUCACUGAACUAACAGUGUUGAAAAAGACAAUUUGCCUAUAUUUAAUAGUUUGCUAGUAAACUUUAUUUUGGGUUACAUCAAACUUGUAAUAAGUAGUGACUGGAUUGGGAAGGUGAGGUGUGCUGAUUUAAGGAUGCCUCUCCAUCUAUUUUAUGUGCUAGAAAAUAGGUAGCAAAAAAUAAAUCUUGCAGUACUCUCUUUUGAUUAACUACACAUUUUCCAUCUUGGAGUAAAAAGUAAUUAUGAAAUUCAACUCUAAUUGUAUAGUUUUUCUGUGUAAAAUAACUGAUGAAAAUAGAAUAAUUUAGAUGCUUUUUCUUUUAUUUUUUAUAGUAUUGAAUAGUGGAGCAUAACAAAUAGUACCUUCAGUUUGCUUUCUCUGGAAAAAAAUGAUUUGGUAAGAUUUUACAUGUCCCACAAAUGCUCUUAAACAAAAGAUAUGUCCCCAAGUGGACAACAGAUAAGUUUUUAUUUUAAAAAGGAAAGGAAGAAAUGUAUAUUUCUAGAAUUUUCUAGCUUAUAAGAAAAAUAAGGAGAAAUCUUCUAAUGGCUGGUUGGCAGCUAACUCUCCAGUUCCUCUACAGUGUGCAAAUUAUAUUAAAUGAAUUCAUUGCAUUAAUGAAGACAAACUUCACUGAUAUUUGAACAAUGAAUAUAAAUGGUUUGGAAUCAAGAAUUACCUUUAUUCAUUAUCAACAAUUAUCAGACAAGACCAGUUUCCAAAUAACAUUUUUUCCUAAAUUAACAGGAUGACCACACAUCUAGAUGGUUGUUGUAUGUGAGGACAGAGACAUCGCCAAAGGUCUGUGAAGGACUAACUGCUAUAGGAAUAGGCCAUAACUAGAGACCAGAAAAAAAAAUUUACAAGAGUGUUCAGACUUCUAGGAGCAUGAAAUUGUGAUAGAAGAAAACGUAUGAAUUGACCAUUACCGUUACCAUUACCCUAGCUUGAUUACUGAAGCAGAGGCCAGGGGUAGAAACUCAAGCAGAGCCAUGUAAUCCCACAGAGUUAAGGAGACAGGGAUCAAGGCACUGGAAAGCUGGAGUGUCAAGAACUUAUGGGGAAAAAUAUGAGAGCAGAAGCUGCACGAUGAGAAGGGUUCAAAGACCUGCAGAAGGUUAAAAAAACAAAAAAAAAACAUGAGUUUUUAGCUGAGCAUUGAUCUGCAUAAAUGUUGGAUAAAAUGUCAUGAAGUUCUAGAAAGAACAAUAGGAAAAGCCAGAGGGUAAAGAAUUUUUGGAAUUCACACAGAAAGAUGGAAAUAAUUUGUAUUCUCAAGAGCAGACAGGAGAGACCUAAUUCAUAGGGGAAUUGGGUAGAGUACUCAGAAACAUUGGGCCUUGGUAAUAAAGGAGAAUUAGCCUUAAAACCAAGGUUCCUCUGAACACAUUAGCAAAGGUUAAAACAAUGGAUACACAUGGACAUCAAGAUGGAGCUAAUAGACAUUGGAAACUACAAAAUGGGGGAGAGUGAGAGCAGAUGAGAGUGGAUAAAUUACUGAUUGGGUAAAAAGUUCAAAAAACAAAAACAAAGGUCAAAAAGAAGCCUUGAAAGGUAAUCAACAUCAUUAAUCAUCAGAGAAAUGCAAAUCAAAACCACCAUGAGAUGUCAUCUCAUACCUGUUAGGAGAUGAUUUAACUUGUUAUCAAAGUGAAAGGAUAACAAAUGUUGGCAAGGAUGUGUAGAAAAAAGAACUCUUAUAUAUGGUUGAUGGAAUGUAAAUUUGAUACAGUCAUUAUGGGAAAGAGAAUAGAGUUUUCUAAAGCAAUUAAAAAUAAAACUACCAUAUGAUUCAGUAAUCUCUCUUCUGGGAAUAUACCCAAAGGAAAUGAAAUCAUCACCUCAUAAAAAUGUCUGCACUCCCAUGUUCAUUGCAGCAUUAUUCAUAAUAGCUAAGAUAUGGAAAAGCCUAACUGUCCAUCAAGGGAUGAAUGGAUAAAGAAACUGUGGUAUAUUUCUAUAUAUCCCAUAAAAAUAAUAAUGAAAUAUUAUUCAGCCCUAAAAAAGAACAAGAUCUUCUCAUUUAACACAACAUAGAUGAGACUGGAGGACAAUGAAAUAAACCAGACAAAGAAAGAAAAGUAUUACAUGAUUGAUUUCACUUAAAUGAGGAUUCUUAAAAACUCAAAUAUAGAAAGAGAACAAAACAGUGGUUCUGGGGCAGAGGAGGAAGGGAGAAAAUUGGGAGAUAUAAGUCAGAGGAUACAAAGUAUAAGAUAUAUACCAUGAACAAGUCUAGAGGUCUAAUAUACAACAGGAGGACUAUAGGAAAUAAAAUUUUACCAUACAUGGAAUUCAUGCUAAAUGAAUAGAUUUUAACUGUUAUUGCCAUAAAAACAAAAACAAAAAAUGGGUAACUAUGUGAGAGGAUAGAUAUGUUCAUUUGUUCCACUAUGGUAACUUUUUACAAUCUACAUAUAUUUCAUAACAUCACAUUGUAUACCUUAAAUAUACGUAAUAAAAUUUAUUUUAAAACAAAG